UGCCAUUUGUCAAUUGGAGCGGAAGUGUAAAUUGUUAGUUUAUUAAAAGGGCUUC
rnacentral:tRNA from 2 species